CAGCCGCCGCGGUAAUACGGAGGGUGCAAGCGUUAUCCGGAUUUAUUGGGUUUAAAGGGUCCGUAGGCGGACUUAUAAGUCAGUGGUGAAAGCCUGUCGCUUAACGAUAGAACUGCCAUUGAUACUGUAAGUCUUGAGUAUAUUUGAGGUAGUUGGAAUAAGUAGUGUAGCGGUGAAAUGCAUAGAUAUUACUUAGAACACCAAUUGCGAAGGCAGGUUACCAAGAUAUAACUGACGCUGAGGGACGAAAGCGUGGGUAGCGAACAGGAUUAGAUACCCCAGUAGUCCCUGUCUCUUAUAC
rnacentral:rRNA from 1 species